rnacentral:piRNA from 1 species
UUAUUUAGAACGGUUGUUCCAGGAGCCAG